rnacentral:lncRNA from 1 species
ACCUCGAGGAUUGCUUGCCGUGGUCCACUGCGUGCAUUCUUCCCGUGGCGUGGAUUCCUGUAGUGGGGAUGGAUGUUACUAGGAGAUAUGUACUUUGUUCCCAUGAAUAAGCAGCAAUUAUACUAACAAAUAAUAAUAUCUAUCUAGUAUUAUUUGCUCCUAGCUUGCGUACACUGUACACAUCGUCGAGUGUUGAUCCGGAUUUAGAUCCAACAAUUUAAAUCUGCUGAUCAAUUGGUGCCUGUUUGGCACGGAUUUGGCUUUGGUGGCAGCUUUUCCCGAGAGUUGUAUCAGAUGCUUUUUGAAAGUUAGUUUUCGAGGGAGAAGCUCAAACCGUUUUUGGACUUUUAUUAUUUACUAGCAAAACAUGCCCGUACGUUGCAACAUGGUAUAGAAUUUAUUAUUCGAUAAUUGUACACUUUUUGUAAAAUGUAAAUGAGUUUAGUCCAACCUUGAAUCAAAUAAAUAUAACCCCACCAAAACAAACAAAACUACCAAACUAAUAUCGGAAAUCACCUUGAGAAGAAAUAGAAAAAAAUCAUGUCCCAUAAAAAAAAUCAGAAAUCUUCAUGUACAGUGGAGGAAAAAGAGUAAAAAAUGAUAUAAAAAUAUGUAUAGAAAUUAAAAGGGGAAGAAUAUUACGUAAAGAAAGCAUAAAAGCAUCACAUGAGGGAACAAUUCCAUCAAACAGCACGUCAGUUCAGUCCACUUUUAUUGUCACUCAGUGCAAUCCAAAGCAAAACCAGCGGCGCAGUUAGUGACAAAAGCCCACAGCCACAGCCGCCACAUAAUAAUAUAAUUAAUAGGUAACAGUUCUCAACAUCCUUUCAUCACAGCAUUUGUUUGAGACAUACAAACAAAGCAUAUGUAAUUCCGUAUGAUUAAGAGGAAGUACCUUGUGGCC